GUGCUUCUUUAUGAGCACCGGUGCACUGAAAGCACGCUCUGCAGGUAUUGCUUCUCUGUGGUGCACCGGUGCUCGGAAAGAAGCGCAUUCAACGGGGCCGCGAGAACAAAAAAAGAUAUGAAUUAAGCGUAAACGCCAUUCGGAUUAAGCGGCUUAUAAAUACAUUAAAAACAUAGCGGGACAACCAAAGUUUUCAAAUCUGUUUGAAUUAUCCGGAAGUACAAAAUAUCCAAGCUUCAAUUAUUGUGAGCCUAUUGUAUCAAUCACUUUCUGUAGCAACUUUGUGCUUAAAAUCGCAAUAAAGUGAUUUUUAGGCAGAAUUCAUUUUUUCGGACUGCUCGAUUAUUCUGAGUUUUGUGCUAUCCCCAUCGAGUCCGAAAUAUUGGUCGGUGACUAUCAAACUUAAACACAAUGGUUACACACCACAGGUCCCGAGGACCAUGACAUCAAUGAGCUGGCUUUCACCUUGUUCAAGGCAGCAGCGGAACACUAUGGGCGGGACCCUGGGUCGACGCACCAGCCGGCUCAUGGCUGCUGUCCUGUACCCUGCACGGCACUACGUGUGGCUUAACUGGCCAAGCAGAGGGUCAUCGCGUGACUUUUAUGAGGCGUCGCUAGCCAUUGUUUCAAACCGUCCUGAAUCGUGGACCAAGCCUUGCAAGACUUCACUCUUAUGCCCUCUCCUUUUUGGUGGAUCGGGACUUGCCAUCUUCCCCUCUCGUGGCUCCCUGUCGUAAUUAAAUAAAUUGUAUUUUUUUCUCA